rnacentral:tRNA from 1 species
UGAGGGGUGGCGGAAUUGGCAGACGCACCUGACUGUUUCUCAGGUGGUGAUAACUCACCUUGGAGGUUCGAACCCUUCCCCUUCAGCCA